GCAGGUGUGGCGGAAUUGGUAGACGCGCGAGAUUUAGGUUCUCGUGUCUUUGGCGUGGGAGUUCGAGUCUCCCCACCUGUA
rnacentral:tRNA from 1 species